rnacentral:lncRNA from 1 species
ACCCUCUGCUCUCCUGUCCUCUCCUCUCCUCUCCUGUCCUCUCUCCUUUCCUUUCCUCUCCUCUCCUCUCCUCUCCUCUCCUCUCCUCUCCUCUCCUCUGCUCUCCUCUCCUCUGCUCUGCUCUGCUCUCCUCCCCUCUCCUCUCCUCUCCUCUCCUCUCCUCUCCUCUGCUCUCCUCUCCUCUCUUCUCUUCUCUCCUCUCCUCUCCUCUCCUCUCCUCUCCUCUCCUCUCCUCUCCUCUCCUCUCCCCUCUCCUCUCCUCUCCUCUCCUCUGCUCUGCUCUCCUCUCCUCUCCUCUCCUCUGCUCUGCUCUGCUCUCCUCCCCUCUCCUCCCCUCUCCUCUCCUCUCCUCUGCUCUCCUCUCCUCUCCUCUCCUCUGCUCUGCUCUCCUCCCCUCUCCUCUCCUCUCCUCUCCUCUCCUCUCCUCUCCUCUGCUCUCCUCUCCUCUCCUCUGCUCUGCUCUCCUCCCCUCCCCUCUCCUCUCCUCUCCUCUCCUCUCCUCUCCUCUCCUCUGCUCUGCUCUGCUCUCCUCUCCUCUCCUCUCCUCUCCUCUCCUCUCUUCUCUUCUCUCCUCUCCUCUCCUCUCCUCUCCUCUCCUCUCCUCUCCCCUCUCCUCUCCUCUCCUCUCCUCUCUGCUCUUCUCUCCUCUCCUCUCCUCUCUGCUCUUCUCUGCUCUCCUCUCCUCUCCUCUCCUCUCCUCUCCUCUCCUCUGCUCUGCUCUGCUCUCCUCUCCUCUCCUCUCCUCUCUUCUCCUCUCCUCUCCUCUCCUCUCCUCUCUUCUCCUCUCUCCUCUCCUCUCCUCUCCUCUCUCCUUUCCUCUCCUCUCCUCUGCUCUCCCCCCCUUGCCUCGGCGCGGUCCAGGUUUUAUCAUCCCCUGGGUCUCCUUUCAUGAAUCACGACUUUGUAGUCUUCUACUUUCCCACACGUUCACACACACCCUCCUCCCCAUACAGACACACACACACAAACACACACACCCUCCUCCUCAUUCACACAAACACACACACACACAUUCAAACAUACUUUUUCACUCUUUAAUGUGUGCCAAGUGACAAGCCAAGCAAGUAGCCAAGAAUGUUACACUGCAGUUAUGGGCCCCGGGAAAUAAUAUCUGUGUCAACCAGCACA